AUUGAACGCUGGCGGCAUGCCUAACACAUGCAAGUCGAACGGUAACAGGCCCUUCGGGUGCUGACGAGUGGCGGAUGGGUGAGUAAUACUUAGGAAUCUACCCUGUAGUGGGGGACGAACCCGGGGAAACGUACGGGCUAAUACCGCAUACGCUCUACGGAGGAAAGACGGGGACCGGCAAGGCCUCGCGCUAUUGGAUGAGCCUAAGCCCGAUUAGCUAGUUGGUGGGGUAAUGGCCUACCAAGGCAAUGAUCGGUAGCUGGUCUGAGAGGACGACCAGCCACACUGGGACUGAGACACGGCCCAGACUCCUACGGGAGGCAGCAGUGGGGAAUAUUGCGCAAUGGGCGAAAGCCUGACGCAGCGACGCCGCGUGGGUGAUGAAGGCCU
rnacentral:rRNA from 1 species